rnacentral:rRNA from 1 species
UACAGAGGGGGCAAUCGUUGUUCGGAAUUACUGGGCGUAAAGGGCGCGUAGGCGGCCUUCUAAGUCGAACGUGAAAUCCCCGGGCUCAACCCGGGAACUGCGUCCGAUACUGGAAGGCUUGAAUCCGGGAGAGGGAUGCGGAAUUCCAGGUGUAGCGGUGAAAUGCGUAGAUAUCUGGAGGAACACCGGUGGCGAAGGCGGCAUCCUGGACCGGCAUUGACGCUGAGGCGCGAAAGCUAGGGGAGCAAACGGG